rnacentral:rRNA from 1 species
GUAGGUGGCAAGCGUUGUCCGGAAUUAUUGGGCGUAAAGCGCGCGCAGGCGGUCCUUUAAGUCUGAUGUGAAAGCCCGCGGCUCAACCGUGGAGGGUCAUUGGAAACUGGGGGACUUGAGUACAGAAGAGGAAAGCGGAAUUCCAAGUGUAGCGGUGAAAUGCGUAGAGAUUUGGAGGAACACCAGUGGCGAAGGCGGCUUUCUGGUCUGUAACUGACGCUGAGGCGCGAAAGCGUGGGGAGCAAACAGGGAUUAGAUACCCUGGUAGUCCACGCCGUAAACGAUGAGUGCUAAGUGUUAGGGGGUUUCCCGCCCCCUUAGUGCUGCAGCUAACGCAUUAAGCACUCCGCCUGGGGAGUACGGCCGCAAGGCUG